UAUGAUCGCACCUGUUUUAUUCUGCGCUGUAAAUACAUACACUGCUCCUCCUUCCCUCCCCCCUCCCAUCAUUUAUUUCCUUUUGCGUGCACACUGCAUCUCUAAUUCUUGUUCUAAUAUCAAGUAAAAUGCCUCGAUGCCGUAACUCACAUUUGCAUAUAAACCAGCGGACCAUAGAUCCAGUCGCGCGUAACGUCGAACGACU
rnacentral:lncRNA from 1 species